AUUGAACGCUGGCGGCAGGCCUAACACAUGCAAGUCGAACGAGUGGCGGACGGGUGAGUAAUGUCUGGGAACCUGCCUGAUGUAGGGGGAUAACUACUGGAAACGGUAGCUAAUACCGCAUACCAUCAGAUGUGCCCAGAUGGGAUUAGCUUGUUGGUGGGGUAACGGCUCACAAAGGCGACGAUCCCUAGCUGGUCUGCGAGGAUGACCAGCCAAACUGGAACUGAGACACGGCCCAGACGCCUACGGGAGGCAGCAGUGGGGAAUAUUGCACAAUGGGCGCAAGCCUGAGGCAGCAAUGCCGCGUGUAUGAAGAAGGCCUUCGGGUUGUAAAGUACUUUCAGCGGGGAGGCGUUACCCGCAGAAGAAGCACCGGCUAACUCCGUGCCAGCAGCCGCGGUAAUAC
rnacentral:rRNA from 1 species